GCCUCCGUAGCUUAGUAGGUAGUAGCACCACAUUGGUAAUGUGGAGGUCCCGGGUUCGAUUCCCGGCGGAGGCU
rnacentral:tRNA from 1 species